rnacentral:rRNA from 1 species
UACGUAGGGAGCGAGCGUUAUCCGGAAUUAUUGGGCGUAAAGGGUGCGCAGGCGGAAAGAUAAGUCUGAUGUGAAAGCCCCCGGCUUAACCGAGGAAUUGCAUCGGAAACUGUGUUUCUUGAGUGCAGAAGAGGAGAGUGGAACUCCAUGUGUAGCGGUGGAAUGCGUAGAUAUAUGGAAGAACACCAGUGGCGAAGGCGGCUCUCUGGGCCGCAACCGACGCUGAGGCUCGAAAGCAUGGGUAGCGAACAGG